rnacentral:rRNA from 1 species
GACGAACGCUGGCGGCGUGCUUAACACAUGCAAGUCGAGCGGAAAGGCCACUUCGGUGGUACUCGAGCGGCGAACGGGUGAGUAACACGUGAGUAAUCUGCCCCUGGCUUUGGGAUAGCCACCGGAAACGGUGAUUAAUACCGGAUACGACCACUUCUCGCAUGGGAUGGUGGUGGAAAGUUUUUUCGGCCAGGGAUGUGCUCGCGGCCUAUCAGCUUGAUGGUGAGGUAAUGGCUCACCACGGCUUCGACGGGUAGCCGACCUGAGAGGGUGACCGGUCACACUGGGACUGAGACACGGCCCAGACUCCUACGGGAGGCAGCAGUGGGGAAUAUUGGACAAUGGGCGGAAGCCUGAUCCAGCAACGCCGCGUGAGGGAUGACGGCCUUCGGGUUGUAAACCUCUUUCAGCAGGGACGAAGCGCAAGUGACGUACCUGCAGAAGAAGCACCGGCCAACUACGUGCCAGCCGCCGCGGUAA